CUCUAUCUCUCUCUUCUCCUGCGUUACUGUGAAAACAUGCUUUCGUAGAGAGCACCGGAUGCCUUUGAUGUGGGAGGCGUUCUUUUCUUCCUGUAGGUGUUGAAACUCUCUCUCUCUCUCUCUCUCUCUGUACUGUUUUUGGUACAUAGCAGAUGAAGGCAUAGCUGUUUUUUGAAGCAAUCUAAAGGAGAAAAGGGGGUCUGUUUCUCUUUGUAGGCUUUUGAUCCUUCUCCUUGGGUUAUGCUGGAAGGCUAUAAUUACAAGAGAUUUAAGGAAGAACGCAGCACAAGAAAGGAGAAGCCUCACUUCAGAUGUUAUCCAUUGAAAUUCCACCAUCAGAUCCCCCUUGUUCUAUUUCAGAAUUGAAUGGUGGUGAUGAACCCCACCACCAAUCCCAUUUCUCCAUAAGGGAUUAUGUUUUUACUUCCCGGAGCAAUGAUAUAGAGGCAAAUUGGCCAUUUCCUCAGCAGUUUUUGCAUCUUUGCUUGAAGCAUGGCGUAGAAAACAUACUGCCACCUUUUGAACCUCCCAAUUUAGUAAGAGCAGCUCAGUGUCGCAGAAAAGGUGUAGGAAAUCAACUGAUUAUUCACGUGGGUGUUGAGAAAGCCUUACCGGAAGUUGAUUCAUUUGGUUCAGAGGAUUUGAAGCUAAAUGAAACUAAAUAUGAUGAUUGUGGGCCAUCUGAUCAAUCAGCUUUCAUAUCAUCCAAUCAAGAUCAGUCUUUCUUAUUAGAAGAGGGUAAUUUAAUACCCCAUCAAGCAGAUGAGAAACCAUGUGGGUUGUCAAGAUCCUCAGGUUCCAGUGAGGUAGGUGGAGAAGGAGAGACCGCGUCAGAGGCUUCGGUAGAAGUUUUAAAUCCUCCCCAUUCUUCUAAGAAAAUCGAUACUUUUUGUGAACCAUCAGAUAAAAAGCGCCGGUUGAUUGUGAGAUUGGGUCCCAUUUCCAGACCUGGCCGGACAGAAGAGAUUGUGCCAAAUUCCAGUGCUGUGACGGAGCCCAUGGCUUCGAAAGUUUGCCCUGUUUGCAAGACAUUCUCGUCCACUUCAAACACCACUUUGAAUGCUCACAUCGAUCAGUGCCUUGCUAUGGAGUCUACUAUGAAGGGAGUUAUGACUAAAUUAACUGAACAGAAAGUUAAACCAAGGAAGAAAAGGUUGCUGGUGGAUAUCUACAAGACCGCCCCAAGUUGCACUCUAGAAGAACUUGAUCGUAGGAACGGUUCAAACUGGGCCACAGAUUUGAGUUUGACAACACCAAAUGAUGAGGCUCGUGCUGAGAGCAAAAGACAACGGAAGGCCCAAGUCAAUUUUAUGGACGAUGAUGAUGAAAAUCCAGUCUAUUUCGAUUCGAAUGGCACAAAGCUCCGGAUUUUAUCGAAAUUUGACAGUGGAUCAGCAUCAACGGCUGUGGAGAGUUGUGAGCCGAGGAAACUUGUGAAAGAAGAUGAUACGAAUAACAAGAACUUUUCAAUCAGGAAGAAAAAACGUCUUGCAUCGAAAUGUUCAAAGCACUUGAGUCUCAGCAAGAGAACAUGCACCAUCAAGCUGAGCAAAGGCGAGAUUCAUGGGGCACCAGAUUGGAAAAACAAUCACAAGGAGAAGGAAGAAUUGCUAUCUCAGUUAUUGAAAGUUCGACCCCCAAUCAAAAGUAGCAGUUCUGGAACAUUAAAACAAUGGGUAUGCUCAAAAAGAACCAAUCUUCCAAAAAAGCUCAAUGACAGAGAUCCAGUGCCUGUGCUGGAGGACCUGUCGAUCGAAAGAAACCAAUCAGUUUCAUCCAAUCCUUCUGCAGAGAGAAGUCUUGUUUUGAAACUCAAGAGAUUGCCUGAGAAUUCCAUGGCUUCCCAAAGGAGCAAGAGAGUGGAGACCUUGUCCAACGUGGAUGGUCUCGCAGAUAAUGGGAACAAGUCCCCAGAACUGCCCAAGCAUAGCUUCAAUCCGUCAACAAAAGGCACUUCUUCUAAAGCUGGCUGUGCGUUGAAAUUUGCAGGAGCUCUCGGAAAUCAAGUCUCUUCUCCGAGAAGCAAGAGAGUGGAGAUUAACACAACUGCUGUCCGGAUGUCUACAAAAUCAUCUGGGGGUCAUGAUACCAUCUUGCGGAAAGCUGGAGAAAUCUCAACUUGGAGGAAGAGUGCUUUGUUUGGAAAACCAUCUGUUCCAACAGAAGCAAGUGUAUGUAAUGAGAAGAGAAAGCUUCCAUCCUUUAAAAGGACCCUUAAGGUAAACAGGACCCAUAAAUGGGGUCGAUCAAAGAAUCUUACAAGGUCUGAUACAAAACAGAUUGUCGACGAAGUGUCUCGUGAAAGAACUGAUGAGCUGGAGUGUGGAUUAGAUAGAGAGGCAUUAGAUAAAUCAGAAAGGCGGGAAACUAUAAAUUCAAGAGGGCUGAAUGUUGAAGCUGAAUGCCGUGGUCAUGACUUGGACAGCAUGGAUUCUCAAGCUGGAGGUACUUUUCAUCAAAACCCGAGCAAUGAUGUUUUCCAAUUCAAAUCCAAUGGCCAAGAAUUUGUGGCCAAGGAGGCCACGGCAAGUGGGGAUACUGGUAUUAAAUAUUCUGGGGGGAAGGCUAUUAGAGACCUUGUUUUGAGGACCAGUGAAACCCGAAGUUCAGAAGACCAUGUACCAGCUGCUUAUUCUGAUAUCCACCCCAAUUUAUCUCCAUCUCUCGAAGAAAGUGUGGGACCCACAUUUGCAUCUUAUGCUGAUCAAGAGCUUCAGUGUUCUGACUGUAUUCCUAUUCGAGGAUCGGGAGCAUGCUUGGCGAGUCCUGGAGAAAUGGGAUUCCAACUUCAGGAGGACUCAUCGAUAACUUCUAAUGGGCCUCCAUCUGAACAAGAUCAACAUAAGCCAGCUGAUAGAGACCUACAAAGUUCUCCUAUUUCCGCAGGCUCAACCGUCUCAGCCCCAGUGACAGAGAGAUCUGAGUUCGAAUAUUUUAAGCAGGAACCAAUGGUAGGAUCUGCUACAGUUGAAGGAAACAUGAUUUCAAGCUUUCAAGGCAAUGGCAAUGAAUCUGCAUUGGCUGAUGCUAAUGAUGUAGAGCUGGGAGCGGGAGCAGAAAGAACACAAAUAGAUGUAGAGAAACUGGAAGUUAUGAUUUUAUCUGAAAAAGAACAUACGAGCCUUUCAGAAGACCGGUUGUGCUGUUGCAUGCGGAAGGAAAGUGCUUCUCAUGGUCCUGCCAUGACGCAUCAGGACCCACAGCUCUGGAGGCAAAAAAGCGUCACGGCUACUGCCAUGACACUGUCAAAUGAAGGAAAACAGAUGGCUUCUGAUUGGGAAAGCAAGCCAGUGGAAUUCUGUACUUCUAGUUCAGGCCUCAGUUUGAGAAGUGAUGAGAUGGUCAUUUCAGUAAAGGCAUCUUCCAUAUCUGCUGUAGAAAACCAAAAUUUCAGUGAUAACGGCCCAGCUAGCCCGUCCUCUCAAACUCAUCCUCGGCAGCCGAUGCAUUCUCAUCCCAUCUUAAGGUUGAUGGGAAAGAACUUGAUGGUUGGGAACAAAGAUGAAGAUGAUUCCGUGAGGCCUAAAGCUACUCUGAAUGACCACUCAAGUGCAAAGUGUCCCAUUCCUACAUUUCUCGGAUUUUCUUCUGGCAAUGUCUCCAAUCAGUCCUCCAAUGGUUCUGUGACUAUCGAGUCAUCACACCCAUCACCGGACUUUGAUGUUGGUUUCUCAAGAAGUUUCAGAGAUCAUGGUAAUCUGAAGGUGCACCAACUGCCUGGCGAUCAUCAGGCCAUGCAUGCGGGAGGAUCUGCUCUUUCUGCAUUGCAGACUCAGCUGAAUAAAUUGAAUGAAAAACCCAAUUUUCCAUUUGCACAUAAUGUCGAGAGAAUUGCUCAGAAGCCUGUUUCUUCCACUCAAGCUGCCGAACCCACCAGAGAGGUGAUUUUCAUUGACGACUCUUCUGAUCCAGAAUCUGAUUUGAGCACAAAUGAUCACAAGUACACACCAGGAUUAAGGAAUCUUCUGCCUCUUAUGGGAAUUUCAACCCCGGCAAUUAUGAAUCACAAUACAAGGGAACCGAUGAGUUUCCUAAUGUCAUGUCCUGGAGCAAAUGUGAGCUAUGCAAAGAGAGGAGGUACUUCGGAAGGUGCAGGUGUUCAUCCAGAUAGCCCUUUUAUACUUCCUCACUGUCGACAGGUUACAUGAACUCGACGUCGUCUUAAUCUCUCUGAGGUUGCUCUAGCCAAAUUGAUAAAUGGCCCGCUUUAUCCUUGGGAGCACAGUUGGCAGAGAAAUUCAGUGACUUCUUUGUGAAAUUUGAAAUCCAAACUGAUGGGCAUUUGCUAUUGAACCGAGGAUUGUUGAGAGUCAGUAAGGUCAAGCACUUUGGAGACGGACAUUGCUCUUGUCGGGUGGUGGAUCCAUGCAUUUGACAGGCACAUGGAGCUUGUGAAAUGCUGCUGCAAAUCGGAACUUAACUAACUUAAUGGAGCCUUCUUUCCAUAAAUGCUUAGGUGGUUUGAUUUGCACCAGGAGAGGUUGAAGAUGUGCCAGCGUAGUGCACAUUUGCAACAUCUGGGCCGAGCCAUCACUCAUCAAGUGGGCCACAUGGGUACGCUAAUUCAUUGAUUGCAAUAUUAUUAUGUUCCACUUGUUUGUCAACCGUUCAUUAUUACGAUACUCAUUAGCCCCACUUGAUGAGUGGACUGGCUACUUCAUGUUCAAGUUGGCCCCACCUGAUUAAUGGUCCAGAACACACACAUGUCAGCA